GUGGCUGGAUUGCUUUGAACUGUUUGGGUGUUUGCAUAGCGUGAUUGAUUUCAGAGAUAUUGCUAUGGUAUAAAAUGGCUGAGUGGGUGCUUAUGCUCUUGAUGAGAUUUGCUUGACGUCUGUUGUCUUGCUUGGCUGCUGGUAUCCAUAGAUUGAGACUCAUCACUCAUUCAUUCCCUCAUUCACUUCACUUCAGCCUCUCUCGCCUCUCUUGCCGUCGACUCGGCAGCGCCUCCAUUUCGCAGUCGACUCGGCAACGCCUCCACUCGCCGUCAACUCGACUCAGCUUCGAGAACUGGCAUGGGCAGCACCUCGACUUUGUAGCACCUCGUCUCUCUCGCCAUCGACUCGGCAGCGCCUCCACUUCGAC